AGAAUCAACGCUGGCGGCGUGCCUAACACAUGCAAGUCGAACGAGAAAGUGGAGCAAUCCAUGAGUAAAGUGGCGACCGGGUGAGUAACACGUGACUAACCUACCUUUGAGUGGGGGAUAACAUCGGGAAACCGAUGCUAAUACCGCAUAACAUCGCAAGAUCAAAGCAGUAAUUCGCUCAAGGAGGGGGUCGCGGCUGAUUAGCUAGUUGGUGAGGUAACGGCCCACCAAGGCUAAGAUCAGUA
rnacentral:rRNA from 1 species